AGGAGCAUUGAUGUAUGUACGAAGCCUAUGUUAGCUGAUGUAACAUUUGUAUACUUAUAUCGAAUCUCUCUCUCACUGUUAAAAUCAUAUAUCGUGAUCAGAAGAGGUAAAUAUACUUUUCUUUUUUUGUCUUUUAUUUAUGUAUUGCCAACAAAGAUAAUGGAUACGUGUUUCAAACUGUCAAAUCGCGAUGUGAAAUCAGUCUGCAUCAUGGCGUAUCUAUAAUAACUAUACCGAGUGAUUCGAAAUUGAACGAAAAUAGUCGAUGGAAAAAAGUGAAUGUAAAAAAUGGUGAACAGAGAAAGAAAUUAAAUAAAAGAAAUAAAAUAUAAAAAAUACAGAAAAAAUACAGAGACAGAAGAGAGAGAGACUGAAUCUCAUUCAAAAAUGUAAAGAAUAGCACAGGAUAGAAAAAAAGUGAUUAGUGCCAAUCAAUGCUACUUUGAAUAUUAUUUUUAUGGCAUACUGUGUUAAUCCAAUCACACGGAUGCGUUAAUUGAUAUAAUAAAUGUGACAGUGACCAUCAUUAAUAGCUGUGGAAUAUCACGACACAUUUCACCUUUCUAUCCGUUUUCAUUUCUAUAUAUACCUACACUUAACCUAUAGAUUUAUGGAUAUUUGCUUCACUAUAACUGCAGAUUUUCCUAUUAGUUUCUUUCUAGUUUUAUUUCUAAUUUCUCUUUCUCUUUGCAGUUAUAUGCAGUAUCCUUUCUUCUAUUCUUAUAGAAUUUUAAGGUUGUCGUAGUCAUAAAUUACGUUAAAAAGAUAUCAUUGAAUUGAAGUCAUCACAAAUUUUCUGCAUCAUAUUAACGAAAAUUAUAUAUAAUACGUAAUACGUAAUGAAUAUAUUUCUUUCAAAAAAGAAUCGUCUUUCAUUAACAAAAUAUGAUCGAAAACAAUCUAUGACGUCAGAGAAUAUAUGAAAGUAAAAGAUUUCAGAUUUUACGGCAGCUGAACGUGACUAGAAAGAGCGUUACGGCCAAUUUAAUAGCAUUCAUGCGAGAAUUGACACUUGACACGUGGUGCCGUUUGACCGAAGGUCGAUCGUUAUUCAGGAUUAAGCAUGCGCGUGAAAACAGCGCCAAAAUCACUGGACUUGGCUAACCGACCGUUGUUUUCAUAUUCUUUAAAACAUUGUUUAUAAUAACUUUGCCUUUUUUCAUUAUUUUACAACCUUCGAGAAUAUUUAUCUGAAAUUCUGCAAUAAUGCAUGACGAUAGUAUAAAAGAGAAACAAAAUUAAAAAACUAGUAAAGGAAUUUUGAGGAUAAUCACUUGCAGCCAAUCGGUCAUCGACCUUUGCCUUGCAACGUAUAUGUAAAUAUAAUAUACGUUUUGCACGCUAGAUGUCGCUCAUUAUGCGUUUUAAAUGGUAAUCUCAAGAAAUUAUAAAUUAUACUAUGGAUUAAAAUGAAAACAAUAAAUACUAUGUGAAGCUUGCAUUCAACGUACUAAAGCAAGAAAGAUUUCUUGCUCGUUCCGCCUAUCUUUAUCUUUAUUACUUAUUCAUUAUCACUAUAUUUUAUUUAGUUUCUUAAACUUAUUUCCUCUUUUUACUACGCAUCGAACUAAUGUGAUAUUUUCUGCCAAUAGGGAAAAUAUGUGUGACAAGGUCAUUUUAAGUAAGAGUAAGACAGCGUUCCAGCCAAUUAGACCGACAUUCCUUUCCAGUGCAAAAACUCUUGAGCUUCAAUACAUUUUUGUGAUGUUUCCCUACAUCUUCUUGAUUUCUAGAAAAUUAGAACUAGAAUCAUACUAUUAUUAAUCUGCUAUGUUAAUCAUGAUCACAUUUUAAUAUUCCGAUUUUUUUCUAUGAACGACGUUCAUAGAUUCAACAAAUAAACGAAUAUCAAUAUUUAAGAUAUUGUUGUUCACUCUUUGGAUCAAUAAGAAUCAAUAUGACAGGCCCAAUCGACGGGUCCACAGGUUAUAGUUUCUUUUCACAAGAUGUAAAAGGAGACGAUCUUGUAUUAGUAACUGUAAGCAACUUCACCUUCCAUCAGCAGGGGGCAACAAGCCUGUCAGACAACGAUGCGGACACAACAAUAAUAACACAAGACGGAGAACACGCGAGAAAUGGACAUAGAAAAUUUCUAUAUAUAUAUAGUAUGUUAGUAAUAUUCUUGACUAGAAGAAAAUACAGUGAGUUGAAAAAA
rnacentral:lncRNA from 1 species